rfam:Neptunomonas antarctica strain DSM 22306 genome assembly, contig: Ga0111702_106
AUUUGUGCUCAUGUGAGCACAUUUAAGAUGGAGUAAGUUGAAUGGCCCGUAUAGCUGGCGUCAAUAUUCCUGAC